rnacentral:rRNA from 1 species
AUUGAACGCUGGCGGCAGGCCUAACACAUGCAAGUCAAGCGAGCGUCGGACGGGUGAGUAAUGUCUGGGAAACUGCCUGAUGUAGGGGGCUAACUACUGGAAACGGUUGCUAAUACCGCAUACCAUCAGAUUUGCCCUGAUGGGAUUAGCUAGUAGGUGGGGUAACGGCUCACCUAGGCGACGAUCCCUAACUGGUCUGAGAGGAUGACCAGACACAAGGGAACUGAGACACGGUCCAGACUCCUACGGGAGGCAGCAGUGGGGAAUAUUGCACAAUGGGCGAAAGCCUGAUGCAGCCAUGCCGCGUGUGUGAAGAAGGCCUUCGGGUUGUAAAGCACUUUCAGCGGGGAGGCGUUACCCGCAGAAGAAGCACCGGCUAACUCCGUGCCAGCCGCCGCGGUAAUAC